CCAGCCUCCAGCUCACAGUUUUCCUUUACUCUGUCUCCAUGGUGGCUGUGUCCUCUCUCAAACUAAUCAAUGCACUUCUGCACAUCUGCAAACUCCAUUACAAGAAUUGAUGGCACUGCUCGUUCAGAACUCCACUGGGAUUCCGCCAUUUUUAGCCGCCCGGUCGCUAUGUACUUAGCAUUGAGGCUAAGAGCUCUUUACUCCGCUGAAAAGAUGAAUAUAUCCACUAAAACCAAAACCACUGCCUCCUGUUUUCAUUCACACCUCAAGGCU